GGGGACUGAACAUCGUUCACCGAAUACACUUUGUGAUGCUGGGCUUGAAAUCUACUGUUUUCCUGUCUUAAAAGAGAAUUCUGUGACUCCAUGGAAGACAUCUGAAUUUUGUUAGCAAGGAGUUCUUCUGUAGCUGCACGUUCUCUCUCAACUGCUGCUGCCAGCAAGAAACGGGGUCCCGCUCUGUCACCCAGGCUGGAGUGCAGUGGCACAAUCGUGGCUCACUGUAGCCUCAACCUCCUAGGCUCAAGCGAUCCUCCCAGCUGGGACUACAGAAAAACACAUACUUCUUGGAUUUGUGUUUUGGAAACCUGUGACAGUACCUGCUGAAGUUCACCGAUCUCAUGGCGUAAAUAAUCCUCCUUUCUGGCAGCCGCUUGUUCUGUACGCUGCAAUGCAAGCCUAAGGUCCCCCACCUGUAGGAGGAGAAACAAUACAUUCACAAACAAUGGU
rnacentral:lncRNA from 10 species